rnacentral:misc_RNA from 1 species
GCAAAAACAAAUAUGUUCUACGAUUAACACAACAAAAAUUUAGUGCACAUUCAAAAUGGGAGUGUAAAAAAAAAAGGAAAAAAAAAAAGAGGAGGAACAAUGAUGGGUAACUUGUCCUUCAAAUUCUGCACAAUCAUAAUAAAAAAUACAUGUUCUCGUAACUCAUGAUUCAUAUAACUUGGAGAGUUCUUCGGAGAAGGCCUUCCUAAUGGCUUCCCUCUUGAUCUUGAGAGCUGCAGUGACAAGGCCAGUUUCAGGAGUCCAUGGAUUAGAAAGCAAUUUAAUUUUUGCUGGGAUCUCAAACUUCUCCAAAUGUGCUUUCUUUGCUUCCUUGAGGAAUGAUGCUUGCACUUCCUUCAUUGUUUCUUUUUUCUCACACAGGUCUGCAAAAUCAGAAAAGGCAAUUCCCUGUUUCGAGGCCCAUUCUUCCAAAGCAGGUUGUGAAGGCACCACAAGGGCCACACAGUAACUGUGAAAUGGAUCAGCAUGCAGCAUCAUGUUGUCAACAUAGAGGCUUACGGUGAGAGUAGCCUCGACCUUUCCCAAA